rnacentral:rRNA from 1 species
CGGCAGACGGGUGAGUAACGCGUGGGAACGUACCCUUUGGUUCGGAACAACACAGGGAAACUUGUGCUAAUACCGGAUAAGCCCUUACGGGGAAAGAUUUAUCGCCGAAGGAUCGGCCCGCGUCUGAUUAGCUAGUUGGUGAGGUAAUGGCUCACCAAGGCGACGAUCAGUAGCUGGUCUGAGAGGAUGAUCAGCCACACUGGGACUGAGACACGGCCCAG